rnacentral:rRNA from 1 species
UACGUAGGGUGCAAGCGUUAAUCGGAAUUACUGGGCGUAAAGCGUGCGCAGGCGGUUUUGUAAGACAGGCGUGAAAUCCCCGGGCUCAACCUGGGAAUUGCGCUUGUGACUGCAAAGCUGGAUUGCGGCAGAGGGGGAUGGAAUUCCGCGUGUAGCAGUGAAAUGCGUAGAUAUGCGGAGGAACACCGAUGGCGAAGGCAAUCCCCUGGGCCUGCACUGACGCUCAUGCACGAAAGCGUGGGGAGCAAACAGG